rnacentral:rRNA from 1 species
GAUGAACGCUGACAGAAUGCUUAACACAUGCAAGUCUUUGGCGAAGCUGUGCUUGCACAGCCUAGCCAAGGCGGACGGGUGAGUAACGCGUAAGGAACUUGCCCUGCAGUCAGGGAUAACAGACGGAAACGACUGAUAAGACCUGGUAAAGUCAGGCGGACUCAUGUCCAGCCUGAUGAAAAGUGAUGCUGCAGGAGAGCCUUGCGUCCUAUUAGCUUGUUGGUGGGGUAACGGCCCACCAAGGCGAUGAUAGGUAGCCGGCCUGAGAGGGUGGACGGCCACAAGGGGACUGAGAUACGGCCCUUACUCCUACGGGAGGCAGCAGUGGGGAAUAUUGGACAAUGGGGGCAACCCUGAUCCAGCAAUUCUGUGUGCACGAUGAAGGUUUUCGGAUUGUAAAGUGCUUUCAGCAGGGAAGAAAAAAAUGACGGUACCUGCAGAAGAAGCGACGGCUAAAUACGU